rnacentral:rRNA from 1 species
UACGUAGGGGGCAAGCGUUGUUCGGAAUUACUGGGCGUAAAGGGCGCGCAGGCGGUCCUUCAAGUCAGGCGUGAAAGCCCCGGGCUCAACCUGGGAAUAGCGCUUGAGACUGAGGGACUUGAGUUCGGGAGAGGUGAGCGGAAUUCCCAGUGUAGAGGUGAAAUUCGUAGAUAUUGGGAAGAACACCGGUGGCGAAGGCGGCUCCCUGGACCGACAUUGACGCUGAGGCGCGAAAGCGUGGGGAGCAAACAGG